GGCUCUGUGGUGCAAUGGAUAGUGCAUUGGACUUCUAGGCUGUGAGCUGAGCCAUUCAAAGGUUGUGGGUUCGAGUCCCACCAGAGUCA
rnacentral:tRNA from 1 species